rnacentral:tRNA from 1 species
GGGGAUGUAACUCAGUUGGUAGAGUACUUGACUCCAAUGCACAAGGCCCUGGGUUCAAUCCCCAGCACCACCA